UACAGAGGUCUCAAGCGUUGUUCGGAUUCAUUGGGCGUAAAGGGUGCGUAGGCGGCGCGGUAAGUCGGGUGUGAAAUCUCGGAGCUUAACUCCGAAACUGCAUUCGAUACUGCCGUGCUUGAGGACUGGAGAGGAGACUGGAAUUUACGGUGUAGCGGUGAAAUGCGCAGAUAUCAGGAGGAACACCAGUGGCGGAAGGCGCCGCUCUGGGCCGUGACUGACGCUGAGACGCGAAAGCGUGGGAAGCAAACAGG
rnacentral:rRNA from 1 species